GCCAAGGAAGGCUGAGCACCUACCGCAGAGAGGAAGACGGGCCACAAAAAUAAACAGGAUAGCAGGUCUUCCAGGGAUAAUAAUUCUGUUUGGCCAGUAAUUCAGAAAACCUGUAGUUACCUUGGCAUAGAGCACUUAACAAAUCUGAUUUUAAGUUUCUGAGAAAGAGAGUACCCUAAACCUUUCCAAGAUCAUUGCUUGUGAAUUCCAAGACCCUCAUCUGCAAAUUUUUCAUCAUUUCAUCAUUUUAUUGGCUUCUGAAAGAAGUAAUGCCUGAGUCAUUUGCAUGACUUCUGCUGGAUCUUGUCCCAUCCAAGGGCCUAAUUAUGGACAGACACAUCAACUUUAAAAAGAAAGUAGACACCAAACACCCUGCUGCAACUGUGACAACACACAACGUACUUUAACUUGGGCGCUGAA